GGAGUUAGCAUAUUUACGAUGACAUUUUCACAAACGCAUGCCUUAAUUCUUGUGUUGGCUGUGGUAUGUAAACAGCGUAAGCGGAUGACUUCCAGCGGCCCAAGGUUUUUAUAAUGUGAACCGGGAUGUCUAGGCCUGAGGCCGUGGAGGCUGCCCCUAUCCGGAAUGAAUGCCCAGAAUAGUUUGCGGCGUUUAAGCCAAGUCUGGUCAAUAGUAAGCGAAUAUACAUCACAAAUUUGGCAGUAGUGAGUGCUGUGCCGUGCAGUGAAAGGAGAGGGAGUGAGGUUCGUGUAGGUGAUGACUGUGGAUAGUUGUUAAAAACUGCACGAGAGGGAUCAUCCUCCCAGAAUGCACCGUUAAGGGGAUUAUCCCCUCGUGCAGCAGAACCGGC